rnacentral:rRNA from 1 species
AGUGAACGCUGGCGGUAGGCCUAACACAUGCAAGUCGAACGGCAGCACAGGAGAGCUUGCUCUCUGGGUGGCGAGUGGCGGACGGGUGAGGAAUACAUCGGAAUCUACUCUGUCGUGGGGGAUAACGCAGGGAAACUUACGCUAAUACCGCAUACGACCUACGAGUGAAAGCAGGGGAUCUUCGGACCUUGCGCGAUUGAAUGCGCCGAUGUCGGAUUAGCUAGUGGGCGGGGUAAAGGCCCAGCAAGGCGACGAUCCGUAGCUUGUCUGAGAGGAUGAUCAGCCACACUGGAACUGAGACACGGUCCAGACUCCUACGGGAGGCAGCAGUGGGGAAUAUUGGACAAUGGGCGCAAGCCUGAUCCAGCCAUACCGCGUGGGUGAAGAAGGCCUUCGGGUUGUAAAGCCCUUUUGUUGGGAAAGAAAUCCAGCUGGCUAAUACCCGGUUGGGAUGACGGUACCCAAAGAAUAAGCACCGGCUAACUUCGUGCCAGCCGCCGCAGUAA